rnacentral:misc_RNA from 1 species
GAUGAAGAACGUAGCAAAAUGCGAUAAGUAAUGUGAAUUGCAGAAUUCAGUGAUCAUCGAAUCUUUGAACGCACAUUGCGCCCGCCAGUAUUCUGGCGGGCAUGCCUGUUCGAGCGUCAUUUCAACCCUCAAGCACAGCUUGGUGUUGGGACUCGCGUUAAUUCGCGUUCCUCAAAUUGAUUGGCGGUCACGUCGAGCUUCCAUAGCGUAGUAGUAAAACCCUCGUUACUGGUAAUCGUCGCGGCCACGCCGUUAAACCCCAACUUCUGAAUGUUGACCUCGGAUCAGGUAGGAAUACCCGCUGAACUUAAGCAUAUCAAUAAGCGGAGGA